GUUACGAGUAGUAGUUUCGACGUCCGUGUCGACGAGACGACGCUGGCGGCGUGCCUAAUACAUGCAAGUCGAGCGGACUUGACGGAAGCUUGCUUCCGUUCAAGUUAGCGGCGGACGGGUGAGUAACACGUGGGUAACCUGCCUGUAAGACUGGGAUAACUCCGGGAAACCGGGGCUAAUACCGGAUAUUCUUUUUCUUCGCAUGAAGAAGAAUGGAAAGGCGGCUUUUAGCUGUCGCUUACAGAUGGACCCGCGGCGCAUUAGCUAGUUGGUGAGGUAACGGCUCACCAAGGCAACGAUGCGUAGCCGACCUGAGAGGGUGAUCGGCCACACUGGGACUGAGACACGGCCCAGACUCCUACGGGAGGCAGCAGUAGGGAAUCUUCCGCAAUGGACGAAAGUCUGACGGAGCAACGCCGCGUGAGUGAAGAAGGUUUUCGGAUCGUAAAGCUCUGUUGUCAGGGAAGAACAAGUACGGAAGUAACUGUCCGUACCUUGACGGUACCUGACCAGAAAGCCACGGCUAACUACGUA
rnacentral:rRNA from 1 species